rnacentral:lncRNA from 1 species
UUCGAAAAGCAAUAGGACGUCAAUUCACUUCGAGAUCGUUUGCGAAGAAACACCAAAACAAUUAUCGCUAUAAUUAACCGUCACACCAACAUUCUUUAACCUAAACGGCACCGUCGGAGAACUCAAGCGUCAUAUCUGAACGUUUACCAAUUCGUCGGAAUCAUUUGUUAAGUAACGCGUCUUCAAGAAUGAAUGAAUUUGAAACUGGUCAUGAUGAACUUGAGA